GCCCCUCCUCCCUCUUCCCUUCCUCUGUUUCUCCCUCCCUCAAGCCCCUCUUACCUCCCCGAUCUGCUAGCGAUGCAUCCAAAUCGAUGGCCUCUAUGCACGUCCUAAGAGAAAGUGAGGCAGAGGGAGCGACCCAUGGCUGGAUUAUGUUGCUGCGAAGCUCAAUGCCUCUGCUGCGAGCCUGCAGAGAUGAGAGUAUGGACGCCGGCUGACAACGGGAUACUGUGGGCGUCGGCGGCCGGGGCUACAAUGGAGCUCGGCACCACGGCACCCGGAGCUGCAAUGGAGCUCUUCCGGGGCUGCGAUGGAGCCCGGCACCACGGCGCCCGGAGCUGCAAUGGAGCUCCGUGAGGGCUGCAAUGAAGAGCGGGCGCUACUGCCAGCGGCAUGGCAAGUUGAGGUCGGCGACGCUCGCCAUCAGUGCUGCAAUGAAGCGAGCGUUGAUGCCAAUGACACGACAAGUCGAGGACGGCGGCUCUGCAAUGAAGCGUCAAUGGAGCCAUCGACGACGGCGCUGCUGCGUGGUGAGGGAUGCAAUACUAUGGCAGUGCCGCUGCCUCGAUGAUGUUGUGCUUGUUUGGGUCGCAACAUCGCCGCUGCUGUGAUAUCGUCGGCGCUGGUUCCGUUGCCACGUUGAGGACCUGCUGUGGUCACCUUGGUCACGCGGAGUUGUAGUUGCGUUUGCUGCUUUGCGUUGCCUGUGCUGGUAGUGGUGGAUGAUUUCAUAGCAGCCGCCAUUGUAAAUUGGUGCUACCUCAUCAGGCGAGUGGCGGAUCCCUGAUCCUUGCAUGCAGUACCAGUUUAGAUGGGAGUUCUAACGACGCAUUAUACAAGGAGCUAUGACAUGCUUGAGCUAGGCUGUUGAUCACAGUGCCUUGCCAACGUGAAAGGAUUCACUACUUUCCAGAUGGUUAUAUGGAACAG
rnacentral:rRNA from 1 species